CUCAUAUGUCCAAAAUAAAUAAUUGAGAAUGCUUAUUACAAAGGUUUUUGCUAGCAAUGGAAACUUUAGGAGCAUCAGAAGCAAAAGAAAAUCCAAGCAGCAAGUUAGGUAGAUCCAUAUGCAAGCACUCCAUGACCUUGAGAACAAAAAGGUUCCUCUGCUCUGGGAAUUAAAAUUACAAGAAAAAAAAAGAUAAAUGGAAUGUGGAAAUACAUAUACCGGUAAAACAAUCACAUAUAGGUCAAAAUUUU
rnacentral:sRNA from 1 species